rnacentral:rRNA from 1 species
CCGCGGUAAUACAGAGGGUGCAAGCGUUAAUCGGAAUUACUGGGCGUAAAGCGCGCGUAGGUGGUUUGUUAAGUUGGAUGUGAAAGCCCCGGGCUCAACCUGGGAACUGCAUCCAAAACUGGCAAGCUAGAGUACAGUAGAGGGUGGUGGAAUUUCCUGUGUAGCGGUGAAAUGCGUAGAUAUAGGAAGGAACACCAGUGGCGAAGGCGACCACCUGGACUGAUACUGACACUGAGGUCCCGAAAGCGUGGGGAGCAAACAGGAUUAGAUACCCUGGUAGUCCACGCCGUAAACGAUGUCAACUAGCCGUUGGAAUCCUUGAGAUUUUAGUGGCGACCGCAUUAAGUUGACCGCCUGGGGAGUACGC